rnacentral:lncRNA from 1 species
UUUUAUAACUCAUUACAAGCCUAAAAGUGAAAAACAAUGUUAUGACCCUAUUUAAGGGGAUGAAAGAGUCUUGUUUGGAGUUGUGUGGGUUGAAUUAUAGUUGUGUUAUGAUAUUUUAAAAGUUGGCAGAAAAAAAAUAUAGCAAAAGAAAAGAAAAGAAAAGGAGGAAGAAAAUACAUAUUACUAGUCCUUCUAGAAAAAAAAGAGAAAAAAAGAAGAAGAAGAAAAGAGAGGAAAUAGUUGCAAAGAAGUUAUUGGCAGGCGAAUAAAGUGAUUAUUAGUUCAACU